UACGAAGGGGGCUAGCGUUGCUCGGAAUCACUGGGCGUAAAGCGCACGUAGGCGGCUUCUUAAGUCAGGGGUGAAAUCCUGGAGCUCAACUCCAGAACUGCCUUUGAUACUGAGAAGCUUGAGUCCGGGAGAGGUGAGUGGAACUGCGAGUGUAGAGGUGAAAUUCGUAGAUAUUCGCAAGAACACCAGUGGCGAAGGCGGCUCACUGGACACAUAUUGACGCUGAGGUGCGAAAGCGUGGGGAGCAAACAGG
rnacentral:rRNA from 1 species